GUCGUUUCUCCCUUGUGGGUCACCGAAAAAAGGGAAUCUGAGACUGAGCGGAGUCCAUCUCUUUCUUUAGAUGUCCGUGCCAUAACCAAAAAGGUAGCUUUUUUUUCUUAGACAUAAGUCUACCUUUGCUGGCCGGGCGAGGUUCAUCCUAGCACCCCAAAUACAAAUUAAACACUCUCGUCCCUUUUUGUGUACCUACUAAUGGUACGUAUUAUGUUAGUUGAUAAGAUUGUAAUACACCAUGCAGUAUGCCAUUGUGGAAGAAUUCAAAACGGCAUACAGGUUGAAGAGGUUGGUUGAGAUCCUAGGAAUCAUGUUCAAAUUCAGAAACAUCAGCAGAGGAGUGGCCCGACGACGGGUGUCGUUAUUUGCUGUAUGGAACCAGGUUGAACGGCCUGGCUGUCUCCGACAUCCUCCUCCUCCUCCUUUGGUUCCUCGCCCACUACAACUCAACCUGCGGUGGCUUGGGUUAACAACUGGAUUGGGUACUUGGAGUGCUUCUUUUUGAUCAGAACUUUAAGAUAUGAUUCCUCCAAGUACUUUAGCGCGCAAUCCUUUAGAUGGACUUUGAGCGACUACCCUGGUGUCAUCCCACUUCUGCGUCUCCUCGUCCAUGGCUGGGCCCAGUUAGUUAACAGCCGGUAUGCUUCAUGCCUUGGCGUCCGCCAUGCUCUUAAUGAACGUAAAAGCAUGCUGCAACAUUCAGGUCAGUUUGAGCCUGCCACUUACUUGCUUCUCAGGUAGACAUCAAAUUGACAUAUCAACUUGAUUCGAUAACCCCAACUUGGAGUCUGAAGGGGCCUGGAAUUGUCAAUCAAUGUUCAAAGUCAUCAGAUGUCAUCCCAUCCCCUCUUCAUUCAAUAGUCACACAUCCAUCUCCUAUCAAGGAUUGAAUGAUGAAUGAUCGAUUGAUUGAUCAAGCAACCAACAACGCCUAUCUCCCAAAUCCGGAUUCAUCUCCUCCCGUCCAGACAAUAAUAGUGUCGACCCCAGUACACCCACCCACCCCAGGCCUGUCCUCGGGCUCAGCUUGGUCAUGGACCCGGCCAUAGUCCCGGCCCCUUCUUUUACAUCCAUCUGUGAGCAAGACUUGAGCGAGCCAACCCAAGGCUAGAUAGAUGGAUUCCAAAGAAGAUUGAUCCAAUUGAAGUUGUAUCAUAUCAUCAGAGACAACGGAGUCAUCCGCCCAUACUACCUGGAGGUUCUUGGCCGGUUCUUAGUCAGCCCUCAGCCGACACACACGCCCAUGAUUGGUCCUUGACGUACAUACACCCUCGAGACCCAAGCAUCAAGACCAGUCGGACACUUUUAGUUGCUCUUUCGUCCAUUUCCCUGCCCGCCAAUUUUAGCCGUGAAAGCCAGAUCAGUCGGAUCUCAACGGAUCAAGUCCUACCCACUGACUCUUCAAAGCUGCCCAUGACCAUCACCAUCCCUGUGAAAUGCCGUCUGUUCUAGUGGGCGGGUCACUAUUGGUUCUUUAAAACUCAACUCUUUCUAGUCAAUGCCAUCUGUAAUGUUAAAGAGAAUUUGGAUAUUUUUAUAGUUAUCAUGUUUAAUACUCUUACAAUAUUUAUGUUUACGUUUCUGACAUGACCUUUGGACUAUAUAUCGUUGUCAUAUUUCGACCUAUACUCGGCUAUUAAAUAG